rnacentral:tRNA from 1 species
GCCCAGGUGGCGGAAUUGGUAGACGCACUACCUUGAGGUGGUAGCGGCCAUUGGUCGUAGGGGUUCGAGUCCCCUCUUGGGCACCA